AUCCUUUUGUGGUUCAUAAGUGUGAAAAUUGGGUUUUCACACUAAUAUUUGAGAUUUGCCUCAGUCAAACCUUGCUACCACACUGUCACGUUACCCAUCUGGCC